GGGGUAGAGGCUAGGGGCGGAGAAAGGACGGAGAGGUAAUCGCAGGUAUGCGGGGCGUGAGUCUGAGCUGUGUGCGCGUUCCAGUUCAGCGAGCAUGUUGUACGCGCAGGAACCCUCUGAAGCGCAGAAAGUAGGAAGGUACUGGACACCUCCACCACCCUUUCUCCCCAGCCUCGGGAUUGCUCUCUCCCUCUGGCCCAGCCGCCACCCAACAGACCGAGGGUGCCUGUCUGACUGUGCCCUGCCUGGGGCACGGGCAUCCCCUCUGAGCUGAUGUUGGGUGAAGGAAUGAAUGAUGGGGAUGGUGACAGCACCCAGGAGCUGACCGCCCCCAUCAGAGCAGCAGCCUCCCACUCCCAUUUCUUGGGAAGACCUGCACACCCAGCGGCCUCUGGGGGAUGCCAGAGGGUGGGGGAAAGUCAACUGGUCACAAGAACAGCCCCGGAGGGACACGAUGGUGGCAGAGGCCUGACUUCACCAAGAACCCUCCCCUCAGGGCCCCUGUGGACAGAGAAUGUUGCUCACCAUCAAGCCUUCUGCCACUGCAGCGCCACCCCCCUUCCCCACAGUGGUGCGCCGUGAGGGGAUUCAGGAUGGAGAAUAACCAGAUACUGGCCCUGGAUAGCUGAAGUGCAUAUCAAAGGAAUGAUUUCAGUGAGCCCAGACAGCAUCUAGCAUCUUCCCAUACACAGAAAAGCACUGCAAUCAUUAACUAGAGAUGUCAGCUUUUUGUGAUUAGCAGGAACCUUUUGAUGUUUGACUCUAUGGGGUUUUUUUCACAAAAACUCCGAGGAACAGUUCCUCAGAGCUAUAUGAGAGGCAACGUCUUGGGCUACAGUCCUCAGUAAGUUCCUGGAAUAAAACAUAACUCACAGCUUUCAGGUCUUGUAUUUUUCAGUCGACGCCCCCUGGGAACUCUGCAGCCCUGGCUGCUGUGUCCUCAGAUGGGAGCCUGCCCUCUUGGCCUUUAGCAAAAGCCAGAGGAACUUCUGCGGAAGUGGAGUGGCAAGGGGGCCUCCUCCAGGCAGCCCUCCUUCCAGCAUCUUCGUGCUCCUGCACAGGGACCUGGGGCCCCCCAGCAUCUCCCCGACCCAUGAGGCUCUUUGGGCUUCACUUUUCGCUUUACCCAGUGGCUGCCCUUCCCUUCCCAAGUUAGCUGCUCAGACAGGGAACAUGCAGCGGUGGCCGGGGUCUCCCCACUCCCAGCCCCGUAUGCAGGCCCCACCUCAUGAGUGGGCAAGGCAACUCCAGUCCCAGGGCCUGGCCGCUGGCCCCACUGUCACGGAACCCCGAGGGGCUGGAAGCAUGGGGCCCUGGUCUGCUCUGGACACUGGUCCUGGGGGCAACCCGAGCACUGGGCUGGUUUUUGUGAAGGACAGCAAGGUCCCAUUCCUGAUUCCCCCCGUUACGGGUGACGGUGACCUCCACUGUGUGUGUAGAGCCACACCUGGCACCAAGAACACCUCCAGACGCCAUGAGCUCUAAAAUCCAUACAAACGUUUAUUCUGCCCCUGCCUGGGGGUGGGGGAGAGGGGAUGCAGGAACUGGGGCACUGCGGGCCUUUACAGACAGCCCCCCGAGGAGGGCGGGGCUCUGGCGGGAAGACAAGUGUCCAGAGGCUGAUGGGCCCUGGGGCGUCCAGAAGGCAAGGCCCUGGGGGCUGAUGGAGGGGCUGGCUUGGUUCCCAGAACUCCCAGGUCCUGGCGGCUGCUGGGGUGCC